rnacentral:rRNA from 1 species
GGCGAGUGGCGAACGGGUGAGUAACAUAUCGGAACGUACCGAGCAGUGGGGGAUAACUAAUCGAAAGAUUAGCUAAUACCGCAUAUAUUCUGAGGAAGAAAGCAGGGGACCAUUUGGCCUUGCGCUGUUUGAGCGGCCGAUAUCUGAUUAGCUAGUUGGUGGGGUAAAGGCCUACCAAGGCGACGAUCAGUAGCGGGUCUGAGAGGAUGAUCCGCCACACUGGGACUGAGACACGGCCCAGACUCCUACGGGAGGCAGCAGUGGGGAAUUUUGGACAAUGGGCGCAAGCCUGAUCCAGCCAUGCCGCGUGUCUGAAGAAGGCCUUCGGGUUGUAAAGGACUUUUGUCAGGGAAGAAAAGGGCGGGGUUAAUACCCCUGUCUGAUGACGGUACCUGAAGAAUAAGCACCGGCUAACUACGUGCCAGCAGCCGCGGUAAUACGUAGGGUGCGAGCGUUAAUCGGAAUUACUGGGCGUAAAGCGGGCGCAGACGGUUACUUAAGCAGGAUGUGAAAUCCCCGGGCUCAACCUGGGAACUGCGUUCUGAACUGGGUGACUAGAGUGUGUCAGAGGGAGGUAGAAUUCCACGUGUAGCAGUGAAAUGCGUAGAGAUGUGGAGGAAUACCGAUGGCGAAGGCAGCCUCCUGGGAUAACACUGACGUUCAUGCCCGAAAGCGUGGGUAGCAAACAGGAUUAGAUACCCUGGUAGUCCACGCCCUAAACGAUGUCGAUUAGCUGUUGGGCAGCAUGACUGCUUAGUAGCGAAGCUAACGCGUGAAAUCGACCGCCUGGGGAGUACGGUCGCAAGAUUAAAACUCAAAGGAAUUGACGGGGACCCGCACAAGCGGUGGAUGAUGUGGAUUAAUUCGAUGCAACGCGAAGAACCUUACCUGGUCUUGACAUGUACGGAACCCUCCAGAGACGGAGGGGUGCCUUCGGGAGCCGUAACACAGGUGCUGCAUGGCUGUCGUCAGCUCGUGUCGUGAGAUGUUGGGUUAAGUCCCGCAACGAGCGCAACCCUUGUCAUUAGUUGCCAUCAUUAAGUUGGGCACUCUAAUGAGACUGCCGGUGACAAGCCGGAGGAAGG